AGUAGUGAUCAUGUUUCCAAUAGAUUCAUGGACCAAGAGAUGGCAUUUCAACAAGCACAUGUUACUUCUUGAAGUGUUUUUUCUCCAUUACAGCCAAUUCCCAUAUUCUGCUUAUACAAAAAGCUUCUCCCUGCAGAAAUGCAUCUUGGCGAAGCCUGUCACUGGUGCUGACUUGCUGAGAGCCUCCAGGGUAUAAAAUGGAUGACAUGGAAAGCGGACAGGGUGGCCAGGACAGAUGCUGUCUGGCUAAUAGAGACAAUGUCCCCAUCUGUUAGGAGGAUUUCCUACAGUUCUGAAUGCUUGGUCCCCAUAUCUUCAAAUAUGCAACAGAUGGUGGGUUACAAAUGUGUAAAUCACUUGGAAGUUUGGACAGCAAAAUGUGAAAAGCAUUUUUUUUUGAAAAAAGCAAUUGUUGCUAACUUAGGGAAGGGUCUUACUGAACUCUGAAAGUUCCAUUUUCUGUGAGCAAAAUUGUUUCUUUUGCUUGUGCUUCCUGGUCAGUUCUAAGAGCAAAUAGUACAGAAGAACAAUGUUCCACAAGCAUGGCCACCACGUGAAAAGUUAUGAUUUUCCCAUAGCUGCUACCUCUCCACAGAUACGAAUAGCUAUUUUCUCUUGUAAAUACAGGUGAAUAAGGACAUUAUUUUUUCCAAAUACCAGUACCUGAUAAUCAUAGGUAAACACUGUCUCUUUUCUUCUUGGAAGUUCCACAUCAUUCAGACAUCACAACAGACAUAGACUUCAGCUGAAGUCACCUCAGUCUCACUCUAGGUAUGUUGACAGUGAACACCAGUGAAGGGAAGGAACCUUUGGAACGAGAUGUGGGGGAAAAGUAUUUAUCUUUCUGAGAAGAACUGCAAUUGUGGUGUCCUUGGAGAUCAGAAAGAAACAUGAUGGCAAACUGCAAAAGCAGAUGAAAAGACUGAUUUCAGUCUUCCAGAGGUUUGACUUACAGUUUGAGCUACCUUUCUGUGUUUGAAGAUUGUACCUUUCUGAAUUUUUACGAGACAUGUUUUCUGUUCAUGCCUAUGAGGUGUUUAGAAGAUUUAAUGCAUCUUCAAACUGUCCAAAUGCCCUCAACAGUGAUCCAGCAGCUGCAGCUUGCGAUUUGUCUCUAACAGCAAACCACGUAUUAAAUCAUUGCAG